rnacentral:tRNA from 1 species
AUUGAAAUAAUUAAAGAAAGCUUCUAACUUUCAAUUAAGCAUAAAAAUGUUUUU